AGAGUUCGAUCCUGGCUCAGGAUGAACGCUGGCGGCGCGCCUAACACAUGCAAGUCGAACGGCACCCCUCUCCGGAGGGAAGCGAGUGGCGAACGGCUGAGUAACACGUGGAGAACCUGCCCCCUCCCCCGGGAUAGCCGCCCGAAAGGACGGGUAAUACCGGAUACCCCGGGGUGCCGCAUGGCACCCCGGCUAAAGCCCCGACGGGAGGGGAUGGCUCCGCGGCCCAUCAGGUAGACGGCGGGGUGACGGCCCACCGUGCCGACAACGGGUAGCCGGGUUGAGAGACCGACCGGCCAGAUUGGGACUGAGACACGGCCCAGACUCCUACGGGAGGCAGCAGUGGGGAAUCUUGCGCAAUGGGGGGAACCCUGACGCAGCGACGCCGCGUGCGGGACGGAGCCGCGGUAAUACGUAGGGGGCGAGCGUUAUCCGGAUUCAUUGGGCGUAAAGCGCGCGUAGGCGGCCCGGCAGGCCGGGGGUCGAAGCGGGGGGCUCAACCCCCCGAAGCCCCCGGAACCUCCGCGGCUUGGGUCCGGUAGGGGAGGGUGGAACACCCGGUGUAGCGGUGGAAUGCGCAGAUAUCGGGUGGAACACCGGUGGCGAAGGCGGCCCUCUGGGCCGAGACCGACGCUGAGGCGCGAAAGCUGGGGGAGCGAACAGGAUUAGAUACCCUGGUAGUCCCAGCCGUAAACGAUGGACGCUAGGUGUGGGGGGACGAUCCCCCCGUGCCGCAGCCAACGCAUUAAGCGUCCCGCCUGGGGAGUACGGCCGCAAGGCUAAAACUCAAAGGAAUUGACGGGGGCCCGCACAAGCAGCGGAGCAUGUGGUUUAAUUCGAAGCAACGCGAAGAACCUUACCAGGGCUUGACAUAUGGGUGAAGCGGGGGAGACCCCGUGGCCGAGAGGAGCCCAUACAGGUGGUGCAUGGCUGUCGUCAGCUCGUGUCGUGAGAUGUUGGGUUAAGUCCCGCAACGAGCGCAACCCCCGCCGCGUGUUGCCAUCGGGUGAUGCCGGGAACCCACGCGGGACCGCCGCCGUCAAGGCGGAGGAGGGCGGGGACGACGUCAAGUCAUCAUGCCCCUUAUGCCCUGGGCUGCACACGUGCUACAAUGGCCGGUACAGAGGGAUGCCACCCCGCGAGGGGGAGCGGAUCCCGGAAAGCCGGCCCCAGUUCGGAUUGGGGGCUGCAACCCGCCCCCAUGAAGUCGGAGUUGCUAGUAAUCGCGGAUCAGCGGUGAAUGCGUUCCCGGGCCUUGUACACACCGCCCGUCACACCACCCGAGUCGUCUGCACCCGAAGUCGCCGGCCCAACCGUCAAGGGGGGAGGCGCCGAAGGUGUGGAGGGUGAGGGGGGUGAAGUCGUAACAAGGUAGCCGUACCGGAAGGUGCGGCUG
rnacentral:rRNA from 1 species